UUCAUACUCACUUCGUUCAACAAAAGAUAUCUCAAGUUUGUCAAAAUUUGGAUGGAUCUAGACAUGACUUUAGUGUAUAGAUGCAUUCAAAUUUAGUCAAAGUUGAGACGUACUUUGUUGGACGGAGGAAGUAUUAA
rnacentral:pre_miRNA from 1 species